GGUGAACGCUGGCGGCGUGCUUAAGACAUGCAAGUCGAACGCAGUCUUCGGACUGAGUGGCGCACGGGUGAGUAACACGUAACUGACCUACCCCCAAGUCGCGAAUAACCAGCCGAAAGGAUGGCUAAUACGUGAUGUGAUGAUCCGCUGUGGCGGAUCAUUAAAGACUUGAUCGCUUGGGGAUGGGGUUGCGUUCCAUCAGCUAGUUGGUAAGGUAAAGGCUUACCAUGGCAACGACGGAUAGCCGGCCUGAGAGGGUGGCCGGCCACAGGGGCACUGAGACACGGGUCCCACUCCUACGGGAGGCAGCAGUUAGGAAUCUUACACAAUGGGUGCAAACCUGAUGGAGCGACGCCGCGUGAGGGAUGAAGGUUCUCGGAUCGUAAACCUCUGAACCAACGACGAAAGACCCGACAAGGGAGAUGACGGUAGUUGGGUAAUAGCACCGGCUAACUCCGUGUCAGCCGCCGCCGUAAAAC
rnacentral:rRNA from 1 species